CAGUCAAGUAUGGAUUCCUUCCAGAGUUA
rnacentral:piRNA from 1 species